rnacentral:tRNA from 1 species
AUAAUUUAAGGUGAGUAAAAUACCAUUUCAUUAUUAUAUACUUUAUAAUAAUAAAAUGAGAAAAAUAUUUUUAUAAAUAUAAAUUUAUCUAUUUUAUUUAUACAAUUCUAAUAAUUUUAAAGUCUAUAGUUAUUUUUUUUAAUUAAAAAUUCUUUACAUAUAUAUAUAUAUAUAUAUAUAUUAUAUUUUAAUUUAUAAAUUAUA